rnacentral:misc_RNA from 1 species
AUUGAUGACGCACAUGUUUCACGUCCACGUUGGUUACACAUGGAGUGAAAUAUUUUAUAUCGUUAGUUCUUUGCACAGUCUUUUUUGAAAUGAAGUAAUGAAGGCUGUUUAAUAUUCCACUUAAAAAUAAGCAUUAAUAUUUGCAAAUAUGCUCGCCGAUACCCCAACAAAUAGCCCGUGGCUCUGUGAGGCUGUGAUGUUGGGUCACAACAUGAGAAGUAAUUUUUCAGAAUCAGAGUUAGCAGGAAUACAUGGCGAUUAUUUAAACAGGUAUAUACAGUAAAACACGCUUAUAAUGAAGUCCCAGGGACAGGCGAUUUUACUUCGUUAUAAGUGUAAUUCGUUAUAUCCGUCAAGUUUAAAACAUGUAAUAAAGUCACAGGGAAUAGAAAUUACUAUGCUGUAAGCGUCACUUCAUUAUAAGCAUGUUCGCUAUAACUGUGUUUUACUGUGAUUGAAUCUUAAUUGGCGUUUAAGCAAAACUUGCCCAUAUUAGAUUUCAUCUAUAACUUACAGUCCUGUUAAAACAUGAAGUUUUAGGUACCCUGUCUGGAAGUGCUUAAAAAUUGUUUUUUUUGGAUUUUUUACACUGUAAUGAGGGAAAAAUCUUUCAUGCAUAUAUGUUAUACCUUAAAAAAUUGAAUUUUAACCAAGGAAUAAUUAGAAUUGAAUUAAAUAUUCAUGAAAUUAAUGUGUUUGGUAAGGAGUUGUGGUUACUAUUGCAGGAUGAAGAAAUCAUCUCCGACCUCCAGUUCUUGUCCAAGUGAGGUGAGUUCGGAGUGCAGCGAGAACUUGAACAGCACAUUUUUCAGUGAAAACAGCUCCGACUGCGGAGACGAGAUUCCUCUGGACAUAGUAGCAGAGCUUCAGGAAACACUGUUUGGUGAUAUAUCAUCGUCUCUGGUCAAUAUUUUGGAUAUUGUUGAGGAAGACACCUGUCUACUGGACGAUGAUCAUUGGACGUCAGCAUUAGAAUCCAUAUCCACGGUCCCAGAUCUCACUAGCCCCGCCCCCUGUUCCUCUACAGCCUCUGGUCACAAAUCUACCCCCCAGCAAAACAGGAAGAAACCAGUCAACAUCAAAACGGCCAGAUGGAGUACGCUGUGUGAUGAUGAAAAAGCCUCAGUCAUAGAGGAGCUGAGUCGGGUGAUCAGUAAUGAACUCGGUCUACGGGAACAGUUAGAGGUGAUCCGAAUCAUAAACCCUUCCGCAGAAGUAUCACCUACAGACAAGGAGUUUGUUAUAGACAUAUACUCUAUAGACGAAGGAAAAUUAGAGAAAAUACAGGAGUACAUAGCAGGACAUGCACAGAGCCCAUGUAUACCCAGCAAGGAUAGCUCAGAAGUCUCACCAAAGAAACACAGCAAACAGGCAAAUAAAAAACAGAGUAUACAAGAAAAGAAAGUGAAACAGAAAUUUUACAAACAACGACAACGAAAGGAGUACCGUCAGAUGUUGAAGGAGAAGCGCAGCGGUUUGUUUGCGCGGGAGGAAGUGUUGUCAGUGUCGGAGAUAGAGCCGGGGGACGGGGAGGGAGACAUAGAUAUACUGGGAUGACAGACUCUAUAAUCACCGCCCUCAGACUGCCAAUACCGUGUGUGUAAAACAGUGUUCGACUUCACUAGGAUCAUCUCUUUCAUUCAACACUAGCAGUGCUAAUUCCUUAUAAGGGAGAUAAACAGCAAUAUUUUUUGGAGAAUAGUACUUGUUUGUAUUUUUUGUAAAGACUUAUCAGAGUCGUUGGCCUUUCUUUCUGACAUUAUACAUGCAUUUGGAUACAUUACAAUUAUGUUUUCUCUUUUUCUAUAACUUUGAAAGUUGCUCAGUACUUUAAUAGUGCUAAAAUUAUAUGUUUGUUUUAAAUUUUAUUGUCUUACAAAUUGAUAUAAUUUUAGUACAAACAAUAAUGCAAAACAAACAAGUAAAAUUGUUUCCCCAAUAUUGUCAUUUCAAACAUCAAUUUUCUAUAUUAUUCAAAUUUUGUACACUGUGCCAACAAGUUUUAGCUGUUACCUCUGAAAGAAGUUCCUUUGAAAUGUAACACUGCUUUAAUGUCCAUGUAAACAUUAAUUAUUGGAAAUGAAUAAUGUUUUCCAGUCAAAUGGAAUUGUCAUGGUAAUUAAAUAAAUUUACUUUAUAAUGU